rfam:Gossypium raimondii Chr01_contig_131, whole genome shotgun sequence.
UGUUAAAAAUUUCAUCCAGUUCUAUUGCUAAAAACUGACAUUACUAACGAAAUAACCAAACAAUUUCACUAGGCAUGCUAUGUGUAUCUCAUUUAGACAUAUAGGGACUAAUUUUAAUAGUAGAAAUAGAUAGAAUUUUUAACA